rnacentral:lncRNA from 1 species
CUAAUAGUCAGCUCAAAAUAUUUAAACCUAGUUAACACACUCUCACCAUUUUAAAUCAUGACGUUUUCUCGUCAACCUGAUCACACACAGCUAAAAAUCAUCAAAUAAUGUGACGCCCACCUCACAUUUAGGGGUGGCAAUCCAACUCGUUGUUCGCGAGCCAGCUCGUAUUCGGCUCUAAAUAAACUAGAGAUCGGCUCGCUCGUUUAGUAAACGAGCCGAAUACAAGCUGAAUUUUUUAGCUCGUUUAAUAAACGAGCUGAACACGAGUUGGGGUCAGCUCGCUCGUGUUCGGCUCGAUGAGAGCUCGAAUAUAUAUAUUUUAUAUUUAUAUAAUUUAUUUAAUUUAUAUUUUUAUAUAUAAAUAAAUAAUUAUAUAUAUUAUAUAUUUUUAUUAUUUAAUUUUUAGUAAAAUAAAAAUAUAAAUACGAGCUUAAUUAUAAAAAGACUCAUUUAUAUGUAAAGUUUCAACUAUUAGAUCAAACUCUAAUGGAUAACAUUUUAUAUAUAUUUAAUCUAAUCCCUUUUUAAUUUAUUGUUCGUUGGCCAGCUCGUGAGCCAGCUCGUGUUCGGCUCGGUAAUAAACGAGUCGAACACGAGCUGAAUUUUUCGGCUCGAUACUUUAAUAAGCCAGCUCGUGUUCCGCUCGUUUAAUAAACAAGCCGAACACAAGCUGACCCUAGCUCGCACGUAUUCGGCUCGUUUACACCCCUACUCACAUUUUCCGCUAAUGAACCAGCUUUGAUGCCAACUAUAAUAACCCAACUCAUUAACACUAAAGACUUCCGCUAGUGAACCAGUUUUGCUGCCAACUAUAAUAACCCAACCCACUAACACUAAAGACUGCUAUAACCAAACCACCGACCUAAAAUAUUUAAAUCUAGUUAUUUAUUAUAUAUUAUGCGUCCGUCACAUAUAGGCCUCCCGCGCUUUUUCAUAUUAUUGAAUAUGAAACUAUUUAAGAGUAUAGCUAAAUAUAAGAUGUAAAUUUUGCAUUCUAGCCAUCCAAAUGCUAAUAUUUACUUACUAGUCUUAACAACUUCUAAUCAUAGAAAGCUUUGUAUGGGCAUAGUAGAUGUGAGCAUUACUCUACUUACAUCGGCUUUUGAAUAUACAAAUAACAUUAUACACAUGUGUACAUUCGAAAAACAAUUAUUGUGCAGUACAAUGAGUGCAGUGCGUUUGUAAUCAUCACGAACAGCCACUUUUGGAUAUACAAAUAACAUUACGCGUUUGUCACUGCAUGAGCAAUUCUUGGGCCAUGCAAUGAGUGCAUUGGCGCUGUGAAUGUCCCGCGUGAUCGGUCUCUCACGUUGCCACGUCACCAGUACAGCAGUUUUAUUACCCACACAAACGGAGACCCUUCCGUACAAUUUUCCACCCUUACCCCUCAUUCCUCCAUCCAACGGUGCAAAAUCGCUGCGCGUGUGACCCAACCACAGAAAAUUAAGACUCUCAAAGUUUCAGCUGAACUAAAAUUCGAAUAAAAUUAUUUUUUAUUACCAUUUGAUGAAUAAAAAAUUGGUAAUUUUAAUACUCUAGUCAUCGUUUUUUUAAAUUCAUUUCAUCAAAAAUUUUAGGCACUAUCUACAAUGCAAGAUCGCGAGAGAGCGUAUGUGAGAUGUGAAAAUUAGGAUUAUCAACAAGCUAAACAAGAGCGAAGUGAGGCCGGCUCAUAUUCGUUCGUUUAUUAAACAAGAAGAAUACAAGUUGACUUGUUAAAAUAUCGAGCUAAAAAAUUUAGCUCAUAUUCUAUUAAUGAGCUGAAUAUGAGUUAGUUCGCGAAUAGUAAGUUAGAUUGGCAGCUUUAUUACUGGAUGCAAAUUUAUAAAAAAUUAAAAUCUUAAUCUAAUAAUCAAAAUUUAGAAAAUAUAAAUCUUUUUAUAUUUAGAUUGGCCUAAAAAUUUAAAUAGUAGAAAUUUAUAAUAUAAAUAAAAUAUAUCGAGCUAAAUACUAGCGAACUGACCUUAACUUGUUGUGUUCGACUCAUAAGGUUUCGAACUGAAAAUUUUAGUUUGUAUUCAGCUCGUUUAUUAAACGAGCAAUCGAUCUCGAGUUCAUUUCAAGCCCAACGAGAACCGAUACAGCGAGCUAGAUUGCCAGCCCUAUCUACAGUAAAGUCAAUUAUAACAUUUAAAAAAAAUAAAAUUACAAUCAAAGCUAAUUUAUGAUAAAUAAAAUAAUAAAAAUAGUAUUUAUGGCCGAAAAUCACCUCCCUCAGCUUUUGGUGCAAAAAAUAUCCCCUAAUUGUACCACUGCAUCCCAUUGCUAAAUAUUUGAGGUCCCAAAUAUUUGCCGUAGAAUUUUGUGAUUUGUUAACGAAUUUACAUAUAUAGUUCUUAAAGUACUUGUAUAAGGUAAAUUUAAGCUCUCAAUAACGUGUAUAAGGUAAAUUUAUACUGCAUCCUUAUGCUAGAAGUUUCAAAUAUUUUUAAUUAUAUUUAACGAUAUGAAUCAUCAAUUUAAAAGCUCCAUCAUAAAAAAUAAUUUAUAAGUAUAAAGAUAUUUAUACUCAUAAAAGUAGAGUCCGGCUACUAUACUUUUAUGAGUAUUGGCUUCUUUAUACUCAUAAGUUUUCGGUCCUUAGAUUUAUUCUAUUGAUCAUUUCCACCCAUUAGAUCAUACUAUUCAACCAACUACCCACUUAACCCUAGGGGACCACUAUUAUUCUAAGUGGGACCACCAUCAUCCUAACCACAUAUCCCAUCACUCAACGGUUCAAAAUUUAUAAGUACAAGGAGAUUUAUACUCAUAAGAGUAUAAUAGUCCAAGCCCAUAAAAGCAUAGUAACUCUAGUGUAAUUUUAGAGGCCCACACUAUCAUUUCAAGAUGAUAGAAGUCUUUGAUAUAUUAAGUCAUUUUAGAUGAUUAAAAUUCUAAAUCGAUAAUUGACAUCGUUGAAAUUGAUCUACAUCAUUAGACAUACUUACAAAUUAAAUAUUGUAAUUUUAAAAAAUAAUUAUGAAAUCCAUCCAUUUGUUUUCGAUGAUAAAGCUUCCUAAUUGACGAUCGGUAUCGUUGAAUAUUUUACUACUUGAAGCAUCUAGAAACCGAAUUUUAUUUUUUUUAUUUUUUUCAAUAUUAUUUUAUUUUCCAUCAAAUGGACACAAAAAUGAAUAUCUUUUAAAAAGUCUAAAAAUAAAUAUCAUUUAAAAAAUGAUAAUAGGUAUCUUAUAAUCAAGAUCGAGAGUAUAAAUUUUGUUUUAAAUAAUUUAAAAAAUAUUUUAAUCAAAAUUCAAUUGAUUUGAAUAUUUUCACGCCGUUAAACAAAAAAACAUUUCAUAUUGACCAUUAAAAUUAUAAAUUUUAAAACCCUUUGAGCAUUAAGUCAAUAAUAUUGAAAAGAUUUAUAAUUUUAUUUUUAGAUACUUCAAGUGGUAUAAAUCAUAUUUAACGAUGCCGAUCAUCGAUUUGAAGGCUCCAUCAUCGAAAACAAAUAAGUGGUAACAAAAUUUGUUUACCACCGAUAGCAUUUCAGUCCAAUUAUAUAUAUAUAUAUAUAUAUAUAUAUAUAGUGCGGCUAGGAUGCUUAUGGAAGCACGGAGGGCUCCGUGCUUCCACUUUGUUUUCGAUGUUCGGACUUACGAAUCGACGAUCGGCACUUUUAGACUUGAUCUAGAGUAUUUGAAGUAUCUAGAAAAUAAAUUUUGCGAUUUUUCGAUAUCAUUUGCCUAGUGAUCUAAAUGGCUCAAAAUCAACGGCUGAAACUAAAAAUCUUACAAAAUAUGAUGAUAUGACAUUAAAAUUUUAGAUCAAAGUUAUUGAUCUUGUUUUAUAUGGUAUAAAGAAUUUUUUAUCAAAAUUCAUGUGAUUUGGAUAUUUCUACACCGUUAAACUUGCAACCGGCUCACCACGGCCAUUAAAAUUAAUGAUUUUAAGCCCCUCCGAUCACUAGGCAAAUGAUAUCGAAAAAUUACAAAAUUUAUUAGGUACUCCAAAUACUCUAGAUCAACUCUAACAAAGCCGAUCGUCGAUUCGAAAGUCUGAACUUUGAAAACAACUAGCACGGAGGGCUCCGUGCUUCCAUAAGCAUACCAGCCCACUAUAUAUAUAUAUAUAUAUAAAACUCAUCUCUCGCAUGGUCUAAUUUCUACGACAUUUAUUUUUUAUCAAACAAACAGUGAAACUGAAAUAACUUCAGUUCCAUAAUUAUACAAAUAAAUAAAAAAUAAUAAUAAUUUUUAUCUAAAUUUUAAUUUAUCUCAAAACUUAUUUAAAGCUAACUUUGCUGAUCAGUAAUAAAACAAAUCCAUUAUUAUACCCAAAAAAAAAAAGCAAUAAAAAAAAGGUUGGCGUAUUUUCGUAACCUUAACCCCCAAAAAAGCAACAAUCCUCGCGGACGUACUCCGUCGGAUAAUGCUAAAGAAUUUUUAAACUGAGUUUACAAGAGCUCAUCCGCGAUCUCGAUUUUGCAACGGUCAAAACAAAAUUUGUGGGUCCCACAUGUCAGUGCAAGACCCGGUGCACGCGCCCGGUUACACCAAACACCAAACACCUCCCCACCACCAAACAAAUGAAAACCAAAAGCCUCCACAAUCUUGCUGUAGAAGAAGCCGCAGCUCCCCCAUUACACCUACCCCUAACUCUACCCCCAAAAACUACCCCGACACUCCAUGAAACCAACACCGAAGCAAAUGACCUACAAAGAGACAUAUCAUAUCGGUGGCAAAAAGAUCAGAUUGGAUCGAGUCACGUUUAAAAAUGACAGAAAAUCGAGUUGAACCGAAUCACAAUCGAGACUUGUAGACGUUAUAUUUAUACAUUUUAAGUGAAUUGAUUGUGUCAGUGCGAAAGGUAAAUGAUAUCCCACAGAACUAUGGAUACAGGAAUCAAAGAUUAGCUUGGUACCGUGUUAUUGAAAAGAUCGAUCUAAUAGAAAACAAACAACACGAACAAAGAGAGAGGAGAGAUUGGGGGGUGGCAUUAAUGUGUACCUGUCGAACGCAAGUAGGAGGGAAAUAAAUGUCCAUGGCGAGGAUACCAACGUUCUUCCUCUCCCCUUCCAUUUUCUUCCCAAUUUUACUCCUUCUAUUUGAAUCCCACCACCUGUUUGUUAUAAUUCCUCAAAGAAAAAGAAGAUGAUGACGAUGAUGAAUACGAGCGAGAGAGAGGGAAAGAGUAAAAAGGGUUUCCACCAAGCGCG